rnacentral:rRNA from 1 species
UACGAGGGGGGCAAGCGUUGUUCGGAAUUAUUGGGCGUAAAGGGUGCGUAGGCGGUCUGAUAAGUCAUCUGUGAAAUCUAUGGGCUCAACCCAUAGUCUGCAGGCGAAACUGUCGGGCUUGAGUAUGGGAGAGGUGAGUGGAAUUUCCGGUGUAGCGGUGAAAUGCGUAGAUAUCGGAAGGAACACCUGUGGCGAAAGCGGCUCACUGGACCAUUACUGACGCUGAUGCGCGAAAGCUAGGGGAGCAAACAGG